ACUUUUUGUAGAACGGGCCAACGAGUUACGUUAAGUAGCAAGGUUAAGCACUUAAGGUGCGGAGCCGUAGCGAAAGCGAGUUUUAACUGAGCGUUCAGUUACUUGACGUAGACCCGAAACCGGGCGACCUACCCAUGAGCAGGAUGAAGCGAAAGUAAAAUUUCGUGGAGGUCCGAACCCACGAGCGUUGAAAAGCUCGGGGAUGACUUGUGGGUAGCGGUGAAAUUCCAAUCGAGCCCGGAGAUAGCUGGUUCUCCCCGAAAUAGCUUUAGGGCUAGCCUCAAGGUGAGAGAUACGGAGGUAGAGCACUGAAUGUCCUAGGGGGUAUUGCACCUACCGAAGACUAUCAAACUCCGAAUGCCGUCAUCUUAUACUUGGGAGUCAGACUGUGGGUGAUAAGAUUCAUAGUCGAAAGGGCAACAGCCCAGAUCGUCAGCUAAGGUCCCUAAAUGUAAGUUAAGUGGUAAAGGAUGUGGGAUUGCACAGACAACCAGGAUGUUGGCUUAGAAGCAGCCACUCAUUCAAAGAGUGCGUAAUAGCUCACUGGUCGAGUGAUCCUGCGCCGAAGAUUUCCGGGGCUAAAACUUACUACCGAAGCUACGGCAUCAGUAAUGAUGGGUAGGGGAGCUUCCCAUACGGGUUGAAGCAUGACCGUAAGGACAUGUGGACAGUAUGGGAGUGAGAAUGUUGGCAUGAGUAGCGAGAUGUGGGUGAGAAUCCCACAGGCCGUAAACCCAAGGUUUCCAGGGGAAGGUUCGUCCGCCCUGGGUUAGUCGGGACCUAAGCUGAGGCCGAAAGGCGUAGGUGAUGGACAACAGGUUGAUAUUCCUGUACUACCGAUAACCGUUUGAGAGAAGGGAUGACACAGUAGGAUAAGCUAAGCACACUGUUGGUUAUGUGUGCCCAAGCAUUGAGGCAGUCAAAGUAGGCAAAUCCGCUUUGAUAAUGCUGGGAUGUGAUGGGGAGCGAAAUUUAGUAGCGAAGUAGCUGAUUUCACACUGUCAAGAAAAGUCUCUAUCGAGGUUAAAGGUACCCGUACCGCAAACCGACACAGGUGGGUGAGGAGAGUAUCCUAAGGCCAGCGAGAGAACUGUUGUUAAGGAACUCGGCAAAAUGACCCCGUAACUUAGGGAUAAGGGGUGCCACCAUCAGGUGGCCGCAGAGAAUAGGCCCAAGCGACUGUUUACCAAAAACAUAGGUUUCUGCUAAGUCGCAAGACGAUGUAUAGGAGCUGACGCCUGCCCGGUGCUGGAAGGUUAAGGGGAUCUGUUAGAGCAAUCGAAGCAGUGAACUUAAGCCCCAGUAAACGGCGGCCGUAACUAUAACGGUCCUAAGGUAGCGAAAUUCCUUGUCGGGUAAGUUCCGACCCGCACGAAAGGCGUAACGAUUUGGGCACUGUCUCAACAACAGACUCGGUGAAAUUGUAAUUCCGGUGAAGAUGCCGGAUACCUGCGACAGGACGGAAAGACCCCAUGGAGCUUUACUGUAGCUUGACAUUGGGUCUUGGUACUACAUGUACAGGAUAGGUGGGAGGCUUUGAAACCAGGACGCCAGUUUUGGCGGAGCCAUCCUUGGGAUACCACCCUUGUAGUACUGGGACUCUAACCAUAGGCCAUGAAUCUGGUCUUGGGACACUGUCAGGUGGGCAGUUUGACUGGGGCGGUCGCCUCCCAAAAGGUAACGGAGGCGCUCAAAGGUUCUCUCAGUACGGUCGGAAAUCGUACGUAGAGUGUAAAGGCAAAAGAGAGCUUGAUUGCAAGACAUACAGGUCGAGCAAGGAUGAAAAUCGGACUUAGUGAUCCGGUGGUUCUGCGUGGAAGGGCCAUCGCUCAACGGAUAAAAGCUACCCUGGGGAUAACAGGCUUAUCUCCCCCAAGAGUCCACAUCGACGGGGAGGUUUGGCACCUCGAUGUCGGCUCAUCACAUCCUGGGGCUGUAGUAGGUCCCAAGGGUUGGGCUGUUCGCCCAUUAAAGUGGUACGCGAGCUGGGUUCAGAACGUCGUGAGACAGUUCGGUCCCUAUCCGUCGCAGGCGUAGGAAAUUUGAGAAGACCUGUCCUUAGUACGAGAGGACCGGGAUGGACGUACCUCUGGUGUACCAGUUGUUCUGCCAAGGGCAUGGCUGGGUAGCUAUGUACGGAAUGGAUAAGCGCUGAAAGCAUCUAAGCGCGAAGCCAACUUCAAGAUAAGAUUUCCCACCGCAAGGGUAAGACCCCAGAAAGACUAUCUGGUUGAUAGGUCGAAGGUGUAAGUGCAGCAAUGUAUUUAGCUUAUCGAUACUAAUAGGUCGAGGACUUGACC
rnacentral:rRNA from 1 species